rnacentral:rRNA from 1 species
GAUCAUGGUUCAGAUUGAACGCUGGCGGCAGGCUUAACACAUGCAAGUCGAACGGUAACAUGAAGAAGCUUGCUUCUUUGAUGACGAGUGGCGGACGGGUGAGUAAUGCUUGGGAAUCUAGCUUAUGGAGGGGGAUAACUACGGGAAACUGUAGCUAAUACCGCGUAGUAUCGAGAGAUGAAAGUGUGGGACCUUCGGGCCACAUGCCAUAGGAUGAGCCCAAGUGGGAUUAGGUAGUUGG